GACGAACGCUGGCGGCGUGCUUAAAAACAUGCAAGUCGAACGGACUUCUCAUGAAGCUUGCGAUUGAGAAGUUAGUGGCGGACGGGUGAGUAACGCGUGGGCAACCUGCCCCUGAGCCCGGGAUAACAGUUCGAAAGGACUGCUAAAGACCGGAUAUACUUGCGGUGAAGCAUUUCACUGCAAGGAAAGGGAACGCUCAGGGGAUGGGCCCGCGUCCCAUUAGCUAGUUGGUGAGGUAACGGCCCACCAAGGCGACGAUGGGUAGCCGGCCUGAGAGGGUGAACGGCCACACUGGGACUGAGACACGGCCCAGACUCCUACGGGAGGCAGCAGUUGGGAAUCUUCGGGCAAUGGGCGCAAGCCUGACCGAGCAACGCCGCGUGAGUGAUGAAGGUUUUCGGAUUGUAAAGCUCUGUCUUCCGGGACGAUAAUGACGGUACCGGAGGAGGAAGCCGACGGCUAAACUACGUGCCAGCAGCCGCGGUAAACACGAAGAGUA
rnacentral:rRNA from 1 species